rnacentral:rRNA from 1 species
GGGUUGUGAGGUUAAGCGACUAAGCGUACACGGUGGAUGCCCUGGCAGUCAGAGGCGAUGAAGGACGUGCUAAUCUGCGAUAAGCGUCGGUAAGGUGAUAUGAACCGUUAUAACCGGCGAUUUCCGAAUGGGGAAACCCAGUGUGAUUCGUCACACUAUCAUUAACUGAAUCCAUAGGUUAAUGAGGCGAACCGGGGGAACUGAAACAUCUAAGUACCCCGAGGAAAAGAAAUCAACCGAGAUUCCCCCAGUAGCGGCGAGCGAACGGGGAGCAGCCCAGAGCCUGAAUCAGUGUGUGUGUUAGUGGAAGCGUCUGGAAAGGCGCGCGAUACAGGGUGACAGCCCCGUACACAAAAAUGCACAUGCUGUGAGCUCGAUGAGUAGGGCGGGACACGUGGUAUCCUGUCUGAAUAUGGGGGGACCAUCCUCCAAGGCUAAAUACUCCUGACUGACCGAUAGUGAACCAGUACCGUGAGGGAAAGGCGAAAAGAACCCCGGCGAGGGGAGUGAAAAAGAACCUGAAACCGUGUACGUACAAGCAGUGGGAGCACGCUUAGGCGUGUGACUGCGUACCUUUUGUAUAAUGGGUCAGCGACUUAUAUUCUGUAGCAAGGUUAACCGAAUAGGGGAGCCGAAGGGAAACCGAGUCUUAACUGGGCGUUUAGUUGCAGGGUAUAGACCCGAAACCCGGUGAUCUAGCCAUGGGCAGGUUGAAGGUUGGGUAACACUAACUGGAGGACCGAACCGACUAAUGUUGAAAAAUUAGCGGAUGACUUGUGGCUGGGGGUGAAAGGCCAAUCAAACCGGGAGAUAGCUGGUUCUCCCCGAAAGCUAUUUAGGUAGCGCCUCGUGAAUUCAUCUCCGGGGGUAGAGCACUGUUUCGGCAAGGGGGUCAUCCCGACUUACCAACCCGAUGCAAACUACGAAUACCGGAGAAUGUUAUCACGGGAGACACACGGCGGGUGCUAACGUCCGUCGUGAAGAGGGAAACAACCCAGACCGCCAGCUAAGGUCCCAAAGUCAUGGUUAAGUGGGAAACGAUGUGGGAAGGCCCAGACAGCCAGGAUGUUGGCUUAGAAGCAGCCAUCAUUUAAAGAAAGCGUAAUAGCUCACUGGUCGAGUCGGCCUGCGCGGAAGAUGUAACGGGGCUAAACCAUGCACCGAAGCUGCGGCAGCGACGCUGAUGCGUUGUUGGGUAGGGGAGCGUUCUGUAAGCCUGCGAAGGUGUGCUGUGAGGCAUGCUGGAGGUAUCAGAAGUGCGAAUGCUGACAUAAGUAACGAUAAAGCGGGUGAAAAGCCCGCUCGCCGGAAGACCAAGGGUUCCUGUCCAACGUUAAUCGGGGCAGGGUGAGUCGACCCCUAAGGCGAGGCCGAAAGGCGUAGUCGAUGGGAAACAGGUUAAUAUUCCUGUACUUGGUGUUACUGCGAAGGGGGGACGGAGAAGGCUAUGUUGGCCGGGCGACGGUUGUCCCGGUUUAAGCGUGUAGGCUGGUUUUCCAGGCAAAUCCGGAAAAUCAAGGCUGAGGCGUGAUGACGAGGCACUACGGUGCUGAAGCAACAAAUGCCCUGCUUCCAGGAAAAGCCUCUAAGCAUCAGGUAACAUCAAAUCGUACCCCAAACCGACACAGGUGGUCAGGUAGAGAAUACCAAGGCGCUUGAGAGAACUCGGGUGAAGGAACUAGGCAAAAUGGUGCCGUAACUUCGGGAGAAGGCACGCUGAUAUGUAGGUGAAGUCCCUCGCGGAUGGAGCUGAAAUCAGUCGAAGAUACCAGCUGGCUGCAACUGUUUAUUAAAAACACAGCACUGUGCAAACACGAAAGUGGACGUAUACGGUGUGACGCCUGCCCGGUGCCGGAAGGUUAAUUGAUGGGGUUAGCGCAAGCGAAGCUCUUGAUCGAAGCCCCGGUAAACGGCGGCCGUAACUAUAACGGUCCUAAGGUAGCGAAAUUCCUUGUCGGGUAAGUUCCGACCUGCACGAAUGGCGUAAUGAUGGCCAGGCUGUCUCCACCCGAGACUCAGUGAAAUUGAACUCGCUGUGAAGAUGCAGUGUACCCGCGGCAAGACGGAAAGACCCCGUGAACCUUUACUAUAGCUUGACACUGAACAUUGAGCCUUGAUGUGUAGGAUAGGUGGGAGGCUUUGAAGUGUGGACGCCAGUCUGCAUGGAGCCGACCUUGAAAUACCACCCUUUAAUGUUUGAUGUUCUAACGUGGACCCGUAAUCCGGGUUGCGGACAGUGUCUGGUGGGUAGUUUGACUGGGGCGGUCUCCUCCUAAAGAGUAACGGAGGAGCACGAAGGUUGGCUAAUCCUGGUCGGACAUCAGGAGGUUAGUGCAAUGGCAUAAGCCAGCUUGACUGCGAGCGUGACGGCGCGAGCAGGUGCGAAAGCAGGUCAUAGUGAUCCGGUGGUUCUGAAUGGAAGGGCCAUCGCUCAACGGAUAAAAGGUACUCCGGGGAUAACAGGCUGAUACCGCCCAAGAGUUCAUAUCGACGGCGGUGUUUGGCACCUCGAUGUCGGCUCAUCACAUCCUGGGGCUGAAGUAGGUCCCAAGGGUAUGGCUGUUCGCCAUUUAAAGUGGUACGCGAGCUGGGUUUAGAACGUCGUGAGACAGUUCGGUCCCUAUCUGCCGUGGGCGCUGGAGAACUGAGGGGGGCUGCUCCUAGUACGAGAGGACCGGAGUGGACGCAUCACUGGUGUUCGGGUUGUCAUGCCAAUGGCACUGCCCGGUAGCUAAAUGCGGAAGAGAUAAGUGCUGAAAGCAUCUAAGCACGAAACUUGCCCCGAGAUGAGUUCUCCCUGACUCCUUGAGAGUCCUGAAGGAACGUUGAAGACGACGACGUUGAUAGGCCGGGUGUGUAAGCGCAGCGAUGCGUUGAGCUAACCGGUACUAAUGAACCGUGAGGCUUAACCUUACAACGCCGAAGCUGUU